GAGAACACAUCCUUCUUGUCUAUUGCUUGGAAACUAGAACAAUAACACAAGGAGCAACCGAAGAGAAUCAUCACAAGUGGUAACAGCAAUGUAUUGUAUCCUGUGCGCAGCAAAGGAGGCCUCGUGAGGAUUCAGGCACUGCAGCAGUGCUGUUCCUUUGCAGCAUACUAGACAGAGGUAACUCUGUAAGCAUUCACAUCAAGGCAGGAAGAACUCAGCUUACCUGCCUCGCAUUUACAUUUCAAAGCCCUCACAAGAUCUUUUUUU